rnacentral:rRNA from 1 species
GACGAACGCUGGCGGCGUGCUUAACACAUGCAAGUCGAACGAAGAGCGAUGGAAGUUUUCUUCUCUCAAUCUUAGUCGCACACGUGUGUGUAACGCGUAAUCAACCUGCUCUUCAGAGGGGGACAACAGUUGGAAACGACUGCUAAUACCGCAUAAGCUCUAAUCUCGGCAUCUAGGAUAGAUGAAAGGUGUCCUCUACAUGUAAGCUAUCACUGAAGGAGGGGAUUGCGUUUGAUUAGCUAGUUGGCGGGGUAACGGCCCACCAUGGCGAUGAUAAGUAGCCGGUCUGAGAGGAUGAACGGCCACAGUGGGACUGAGACACGGCCCAGACUCCUACGGGAGGCAGCAGUGGGGAAUCUUCCGCAAUGGACGAAAGUCUGACGGAGCAACGCCGCGUGAGUGAUGAAGGCCUUCGGGUUGUAAAGCUCUGUUAAUAGGGACGAAAGGCCUUCUGGCGAAAAGUGAGAAGGAUUGACGGUACCGGAACAGAAAGCCACGGCUAACUACGUG